rnacentral:rRNA from 1 species
AAAAACUCCGGUGGUAUAAGAUGGACCCGCGUCUGAUUAGCCAGUUGGCGGGGUAACGGCCCACCAAAGCGACGAUCAGUAGCCGACCUGAGAGGGUGACCGGCCACAUUGGGACUGAGACACGGCCCAAACUCCUACGGGAGGCAGCAGUGGGGAAUAUUGCACAAUGGGGGAAACCCUGAUGCAGCAACGCCGCGUGAGUGAAGAAGUAUUUCGGUAUGUAAAGCUCUAUCAGCAGGGAAGAAGAUGACGGUACCUGACCAAGAAGCCCCGGCUAACUACGUGCCAGCAGCCGCGGUAAUACGUAGGGGGCAAGCGUUAUCCGGAUUUACUGGGUGUAAAGGGAGCGCAGGCGGCAGUGCAAGUCUGGAGUGAAAGCCCGGGGCCCAACCCCGGAACUGCUCUGGAAACUGUGCGGCUAGAGUACUGGAGGGGCAGGCGGAAUUCCUAGUGUAGCGGUGAAAUGCGUAGAUAUUAGGAGGAACACCAGUGGCGAAGGCGGCCUGCUGGACAGUAACUGACGUUGAGGCUCGAAAGCGUGGGGAGCAAACAGGAUUAGAUACCCUGGUAGUCCACGCCGUAAA